rnacentral:rRNA from 1 species
GUCGAACGAUGAAGCCCAGCUUGCUGGGUGGAUUAGUGGCGAACGGGUGAGUAACACGUGAGUAACCUGCCCUUGACUCUGGGAUAAGCCCGGGAAACUGGGUCUAAUACCGGAUAGGAACGUCCACCGCAUGGUGGUUGUUGGAAAGAUUUAUCGGUCAUGGAUGGACUCGCGGCCUAUCAGCUUGUUGGUGAGGUAAUGGCUCACCAAGGCGACGACGGGUAGCCGGCCUGAGAGGGUGACCGGCCACACUGGGACUGAGACACGGCCCAGACUCCUACGGGAGGCAGCAGUGGGGAAUAUUGCACAAUGGGCGAAAGCCUGAUGCAGCGACGCCGCGUGAGGGAUGACGGCCUUCGGGUUGUAAACCUCUUUCAGUAGGGAAGAAGCGAAAGUGACGGUACCUGCAGAAGAAGCACCGGCUAACUACGUGCCAGCAGCCGCGGUAAUACGUAGGGUGCGAGCGUUAUCCGGAAUUAUUGGGCGUAAAGAGCUCGUAGGCGGUUUGUCGCGUCUGUCGUGAAAGUCCGGGGCUUAACCCCGGAUCUGCGGUGGGUACGGGCAGACUAGAGUGCAGUAGGGGAGACUGGAAUUCCUGGUGUAGCGGUGGAAUGCGCAGAUAUCAGGAGGAACACCGAUGGCGAAGGCAGGUCUCUGGGCUGUAACUGACGCUGAGGAGCGAAAGCAUGGGGAGCGAACAGGAUUAGAUACCCUGGUAGUCCAUGCCGUAAACGUUGGGCACUAGGUGUGGGGACCAUUCCACGGUUUCCGCGCCGCAGCUAACGCAUUAAGUGCCCCGCC